AUGAUUUCCCCCAGAAACGGCCCCCUCUCGGGAGCCCCGAGACGCCUCUGCAAGCCCUUCACAAAUUCACUCCGAGGACACUGUCCAAGUAGAGCCACUCAUCUCAGCUCUGCAACCCCCGCCCCCAGACCCCUCGCCCUCCCUUGGAUCGCGACCAUUCCCCCCAGAAUGAGGCACGCAGAGUCUCGCGCUGAGGAUCCCCGGCUGCAGCUCCCGGUCCCGGCCUCCGCAGACCCCGGACCCUCCUUCCCACUUGCCACCCGGCCGGCUGAACUGCCCGGACCCCAGGGACGACGUGCCCGCCGAGGCCCGUGGGGUCGGCCCGGCGGCGAGGCCGGGACUCACCUCUCCCCGGCACGGUCCGUCUUCGGUCCGGUCUCCUCCGCGGCGUCUCCGGCUCCUCCUCAUCCACCCCAGCAGGAAGUGACCUCCUCGGCUGCUUUCGUCACUUCCAUCCUCUGCCGCGAGGGCGGGGGAGGAGGCGGCGCCCUCCCGCCGCUCCCGGCCGCGCCGCACCCAGCCGCGUCUCCCUUUCCUUUCUCCUUUCCGCAGACGCCGACUUCCGCCCGCACCCCGCCCCCGGCGCGCGCUCCUCCCGCCGCGCAUCCCGCGCAUCCGCCCUGGCGCGGCGCGUGCGUCACGCUGCGGGGACACGUUACGCACGCUCGCGGUGGGCGGCGCGGCCGCGGCACGGGGGUCGGCUGGAAGCCGAAAGUGACGCGGCGCGAGGGGGUGUCCCAUCGUCGCGCACGUCCACCCCAGCCCGGUGCUGGCUGGGCGCGGCCCCGGGAGCCCCAACUGUUGCGGGAGGGGACCUCGCAGACCCCACAGGGUGGGGCCAGGCCCCGGGAUAAAGCCGCCUCCGGACCGCCGAGAGGAGGCCCCCGUUUCUCCAGCAAAUGGCCCUGCGACCUCCCAGAGAGCCGAGCUCUCUCGAUGGGAAGAGAGGACCCGCAGGCUCCAGAGGGAGUUCUCUACCCUCCAAGAAAGGGCCCUUUCGUGUGCUUAGAAAAGAAGCGCCAAGCUUUCUCCGGAGCGCGUGGCUUGGGCUUUUAUUCCGUGUAA
rnacentral:lncRNA from 1 species